AGUUUGAUCCUGGCUCAGGACGAACGCUGGCGGCGUGCCUAAUACAUGCAAGUCGAACGCGUCUUGGUUAAUGAUGUUAGGUGCUUGCAUUUAACUGAUUUAACAUUGAGACGAGUGGCGAACUGGUGAGUAACACGUGGGUAACCUGCCCUGAAGUGGGGGAUAACACUUGGAAACAGGUGCUAAUACCGCAUAACAACGAAAACCACAUGGUUUUCGUUUGAAAGAUGGCUUCGGCUGUCACUUUUGGAUGGACCCGCGGCGUAUUAGCUUGUUGGUGAGGUAACGGCUCACCAAGGCCAUGAUACGUAGCCGACCUGAGAGGGUAAUCGGCCACAUUGGGACUGAGACACGGCCCAAACUCCUACGGGAGGCAGCAGUAGGGAAUCUUCCACAAUGGACGAAAGUCUGAUGGAGCAACGCCGCGUGAGUGAUGAAGGGUUUCGGCUCGUAAAACUCUGUUGUUGGAGAAGAACAGGUGAUAGAGUAACUGUUAUCAUCUUGACGGUAUCCAACCAGAAAGCCACGGCUAACUACGUGCCAGCAGCCGCGGUAAUACGUAGGUGGCAAGCGUUGUCCGGAUUUAUUGGGCGUAAAGCGAGCGCAGGCGGUUUUUUAGGUCUGAUGUGAAAGCCUUCGGCUUAACCGGAGAAGGGCAUCGGAAACCGGGAGACUUGAGUGCAGAAGAGGACAGUGGAACUCCAUGUGUAGCGGUGAAAUGCGUAGAUAUAUGGAAGAACACCAGUGGCGAAGGCGGCUGUCUGGUCUGUAACUGACGCUGAGGCUCGAAAGCAUGGGUAGCGAACAGGAUUAGAUACCCUGGUAGUCCAUGCCGUAAACGAUGAGUGCUAAGUGUUGGAGGGUUUCCGCCCUUCAGUGCUGCAGCUAACGCAUUAAGCACUCCGCCUGGGGAGUACGACCGCAAGGUUGAAACUCAAAGGAAUUGACGGGGGCCCGCACAAGCGGUGGAGCAUGUGGUUUAAUUCGAUGCUACGCGAAGAACCUUACCAGGUCUUGACAUCUUCUGC
rnacentral:rRNA from 1 species